UACGGGGGGAGCAAGCGUUGUUCGGAUUUACUGGGCGUAAAGGGCGCGUAGGCGGUCGUGACAAGUCACUUGUGAAAUCUCCGGGCUUAACUCGGAACGGUCAAGUGAUACUGUCGGACUAGAGUACAGAAGGGGCAACUGGAAUUCUCGGUGUAGCGGUGAAAUGCGUAGAGCUCGGGAAGAACAUCGGUGGCGAAAGCGCUCUGCUGGACUGCAACUGACACUCAGGGACGAAAGCUAGGGGAGCGAAUGGGAUAGAUA
rnacentral:rRNA from 1 species